rnacentral:rRNA from 1 species
GACGAACGCUGGCGGCGUGCCUAAUACAUGCAAGUCGUACGAGAGCGACCGGUGCUUGCACUGGUCAAUCUAGUGGCGAACGGGUGAGUAACACGUGGGUAACCUGCCCAUCAGAGGGGGAUAACAUCCGGAAACGGAUGCUAAAACCGCAUAGGUCUUCGAGCCGCAUGGCUUGAAGAGGAAAAGAGGCGCAAGCUUCUGCUGAUGGAUGGACCCGCGGUGCAUUAGCUAGUUGGUGAGGUAACGGCUCACCAAGGCCGUGAUGCAUAGCCGACCUGAGAGGGUGAUCGGCCACAUUGGGACUGAGACACGGCCCAAACUCCUACGGGAGGCAGCAGUAGGGAAUCUUCCGCAAUGGACGCAAGUCUGACGGAGCAACGCCGCGUGAGUGAAGAAGGUUUUCGGAUCGUAAAACUCUGUUGUUAGAGAAGAACAAGUGCUAGAGUAACUGUUAGCGCCUUGACGGUAUCUAACCAGAAAGCCACGGCUAACUACGUG